rnacentral:rRNA from 1 species
CCCUUAGACGUUCUGGGCCGCACGCGCGCUACACUGACCAGUGCAACAAGCAUCCGUCCUUGGCCGACAGGCCCGGGCAAUCUUUGAACGCUGGUCGUGAUGGGGAUAGACUUUUGCAAUUUUUGGUCUUCAACGAGGAAUUCCUAGUAAACGCAAGUCAUCAACUUGCAUUGAUUACGUCCCUGCCCUUUGUACACACCGCCCGUCGCACCUACCGAUUGGAUGGUCCGGUGAAGCCUCCGGAUUGGCGCGCACCUCGGUGCCGCCGAGAAGUUGGCUAAACCUUACCAUUUAGAGGAAGGUGAAGUCGUAACA